GCUCUGGCAUUCAUUGCCUGGUAUGUAGUGAGCAUGAGCAUUUUACAAAUAUAUUUUUGACACAGUUUUUCCUGGUGGUGAAGAUGAAGUAGGUACUGUGUGAAAACUCACUCUAGCAACUGUCCUCUCCGACAUCUUCAGAGUCCAAGUUCUAAACUUUCCUCAACAACUUGAUUUUUAUUAAAUACUUCAUCUGGUGUUUCCUUCAGAGUAUCUACAAAAUAACCAAAUAAUUUUCCUACAGAUAUUUGGCCCAGUCUCACUAGUCUUAACUGAACUUUCUCUCACAUGCUUGUGGCUGUUGUGAUUUUCUUCACUGACAGAAAAGUAAAUGUUUAUGUGUUCAUUCUAAGUCACUGUCUGAACAUUAAUCCUGGUCAAGGAAUUUAAGCUGUUAAACCCGAUAAAAAA